rnacentral:rRNA from 1 species
AUGAACGCUGGCGGCGUGCCUAAUACAUGCCAGUCGAGCGAACAGACGAGGAGCUUGCUCCUCUGACGUUAGCGGCGGACGGGUGAGUAACACGUGGAUAACCUACCUAUAAGACUGGGAUAACUUCGGGAAACCGGAGCUAAUACCGGAUAAUAUAUUGAACCGCAUGGUUCAAUAGUGAAAGACGGUUUUGCUGUCACUUAUAGAUGGAUCCGCGCCGCAUUAGCUAGUUGGUAAGGUAACGGCUUACCAAGGCAACGAUGCGUAGUCGACCUGAGAGGGUGAUCGGCCACACUGGAACUGAGACACGGUCCAGACUCCUACGGGAGGCAGCAGUAGGGAAUCUUCCGCAAUGGGCGAAAGCUUGACGGAGCAACGCCGCGUGAGUGAUGAAGGUCUUCGGAUCGUAAAACUCUGUUAUUAGGGAAGAACAAAUGUGUAAGUAACUAUGCACGUCUUGACGGUACCUAAUCAGAAAGCCACGGCUAACUACGUG